ACUCCUACGGGAGGCAGCAGUAGGGAAUCUUCCACAAUGGGCGCAAGCCUGAUGGAGCAACACCGCGUGAGUGAAGAAGGGUUUCGGCUCGUAAAGCUCUGUUGUUAAAGAAGAACACGUAUGAGAGUAACUGUUCAUACGUUGACGGUAUUUAACCAGAAAGUCACGGCUAACUACGUGCCAGCAGCCGCGGUAAUACGUAGGUGGCAAGCGUUAUCCGGAUUUAUUGGGCGUAAAGAGAGUGCAGGCGGUUUUCUAAGUCUGAUGUGAAAGCCUUCGGCUUAACCGGAGAAGUGCAUCGGAAACUGGAUAACUUGAGUGCAGAAGAGGGUAGUGGAACCCCAUGUGUAGCGGUGGAAUGCGUAGAUAUAUGGAAGAACACCAGUGGCGAAGGCGGCUACCUGGUCUGCAACUGACGCUGAGACUCGAAAGCAUGGGUAGCGAACAGGAUUAGAUACCCUGGUAGGAUAGCG
rnacentral:rRNA from 1 species